rnacentral:rRNA from 1 species
CGUAGGCGGUUUGGACAGUCAGGCGUGAAAUUCCCGGGCUUAACCUGGGGGCUGCGCUUGAUACAUCCAGGCUUGAGUGAGGAAGAGGGUCGUGGAAUUCCCAGUGUAGAGGUGAAAUUCGUAGAUAUUGGGAAGAACACCGGUGGCGAAGGCGGCGACCUGGUCCUUUACUGACGCUGAGGCGCGAAAGCGUGGGGAGCAAACAGGAUUAGAUACCCUGGUAGUCCACGCUGUAAACGAUGUGUGCUGGAUGUUGGGUGACCUAGUCACUCAGUGUCGUAGCUAACGCGGUAAGCACACCGCCUGGGGAGUACGGCCGCAAGGUUGAA